GAACUCCUCACCUUGCUAAUUUUUUAUGGGAAAUGUAACUACCUGAAAGACCGGACACUUGUCUUUAUCUGACAAGUGAAUUCUUCCCUUCUUUUGAAAGGAAAACUUCAAGGGAAGCCAGAAUAUCAGAAGGUUGUUGCUGAGCUUAGAACAAAUCAGACAAACCUCGAGUUCAAAUCCAGCUCUACUAGCCAUGUGAACUUGGGAUGUUGCUUAGCCUCUGUUUGCAAGAAGCAGCAGCCACCAUCUACUCGGCCUCAGGGGAUACACCACCUAAGUAAGAGGAUGAAGGACCCUCACCCUGGCUAUUGCAACACACACCUGAGGUAGAGUAACAACAGGACAUGAUUAUACGGACUCCUGGGCCGGAAUAAGUUCUAGUCAGCUGCCCUUAUCACUGGCUUUUUGAUGCUUUGAAUCUAGGCCCAGGAUGGGACAUGUCCCUGUGGUUUUAACCAGCUGACACUUUGACCUUCCUGAAGAAAUUAAACACUCUUGUUUCACA